rnacentral:rRNA from 1 species
UUAAAUUGAAGAGUUUGAUCAUGGCUCAGAUUGAACGCUGGCGGCAGGCCUAACACAUGCAAGUCGAACGGUAACAGGAAGCAGCUUGCUGUUUCGCUGACGAGUGGCGGACG